rnacentral:rRNA from 1 species
CUCCUGGGAAACGGGUGGUAAUGCCGGAUGUUCCAGUUGAUCGCAUGGUCUUCUGGGAAAGCUUUCGCGGUAUGGGAUGGGGUCGCGUCCUAUCAGCUUGACGGCGGGGUAACGGCCCACCGUGGCUUCGACGGGUAGCCGGCCUGAGAGGGCGACCGGCCACAUUGGGACUGAGAUACGGCCCAGACUCCUACGGGAGGCAGCAGUGGGGAAUAUUGCACAAUGGGCGCAAGCCUGAUGCAGCGACGCCGCGUGAGGGAUGGAGGCCUUCGGGUUGUAAACCUCUUUUAUCGGGGAGCAAGCGUGAGUGAGUUUACCCGUUGAAUAAGCACCGGCUAACUACGUGCCAGCAGCCGCGGUAAUACGUAGGGUGCAAGCGUUAUCCGGAAUUAUUGGGCGUAAAGGGCUCGUAGGCGGUUCGUCGCGUCCGGUGUGAAAGUCCAUCGCUUAACGGUGGAUCCGCGCCGGGUACGGGCGGGCUUGAGUGCGGUAGGGGAGACUGGAAUUCCCGGUGUAACGGUGGAAUGUGUAGAUAUCGGGAAGAACACC